rnacentral:rRNA from 1 species
GGGGAAUAUUGCGCAAUGGGGGCAACCCUGACGCAGCCAUGCCGCGUGAAUGAAGAAGGCCUUCGGGUUGUAAAGUUCUUUCGGUAGCGAGGAAGGCAUUUAGUUUAAUAGACUAGAUGAUUGACGUUAACUACAGAAGAAGCACCGGCUAACUCCGUGCCAGCAGCCGCGGUAAUACGGAGGGUGCGAGCGUUAAUCGGAAUAACUGGGCGUAAAGGGCACGCAGGCGGUGACUUAAGUGAGGUGUGAAAGCCCCGGGCUUAACCUGGGAAUUGCAUUUCAUACUGGGUCGCUAGAGUACUUUAGGGAGGGGUAGAAUUCCACGUGUAGCGGUGAAAUGCGUAGAGAUGUGGAGGAAUACCGAAGGCGAAGGCAGCCCCUUGGGAAUGUACUGACGCUCAUGUGCGAAAGCGUGGGGAGCAAACAGGAUUAGAUACCCUGGUAGUCCACGCUGUAAACGAUGUCGAUUUGGGGGUUGAACUUUAAGUUUGGCGCCCGUAGCUAACGUGAUAAAUCGACCGCCUGGGGAGUACGGCCGCAAGGUUA